GAGGGACCAAAAGUGGAAGAAUCU
rnacentral:miRNA from 1 species